rnacentral:rRNA from 1 species
AUGUUACGGACCUUUUCUGAUGCUAUGGGACAGAAGCAUCCUAUAUCUGUGAUCACGGAUGGGGACCUUGCAAUGCAGAGAGCAAUCAGGGUGGUGUGGCCUGGCUCAAACCAUAGGCUCUGUAUAUGGCACAUUCAGCAGAACAUUGUACGCCAUCUACAUGAUGAUGCGAUAAAGGAGGAAUUCAGAUCUUUCAUAUAUGAUACAUCUUCCAUUGAAGAGCAUGAGAGAAAAUGGUUACACUUCUUACAAUGA